AAACUAGCACUCCUGGAAUUGAAUGUGUUUAAAACAGCCUUCUAGUAUUUUCCAUCAGUUGGUAGUACAAUACAAAAUGUCUGAUUCAUUAUGAGUCAGUCUCUUCCAGUCAGACACCUAGAGGGGAAACAUCCUUGUCAGGUGUUGGCUAUAACAGGGGCUAUAACAGGGGUGAUACAGUUUCUGGUCAGGUGUUGGGCUAUAACAGGGGCUAUAACACGGGUGAUACAGUUUCUGGUCAGGUGCUGGGCUGUAACAGGGGCUAUAACAGGGGUGAUACAGUUUAUCUGGUCAGGUGUUGGGCUAUAACAGGGGCUAUAACAGGGGUGAUACAGUUUAUCUGGUCAGGUGCUGGGCUAUAACAGGGGCUAUAACAGGGGUGAUACAGUUUCUGGUCAGGUGUUGGGCUAUAACGGGGGUUUUACAGUUUCUGGUCAGGUGUUGGGCUAUAACAGGGGCUAUAACAGGGGUGAUACAGUAUAUCUGGUCAGGUGUUGGGCUAUAACAGGGGUGAUACAGUUUAUCUGGUCAGGUGCUGGGCUAUAACAGGGGCUAUAACAGGGGCUAUAACAGGGGUGAUAUAGUAUAUCUGGUCAGGUGUUGGCUAUAACAGGGGUGAUACAGUUUAUCUGGUCAGGUGCUGGGCUAUAACAGGGGCUAUAACAUGGGGCUAUUAAUAUGGUUGAAUCUGGAAACUAUCAUCUCGAAAACAAAAGUUUUUUUCUUUCAGUGACAUACGGAACCGUUCCGUAUUUUAUCUAACGGGUGACUAAGUCUAAAUAUUCCUGUUAGGCAUCGAUGUUUAUGGUUAGGUACAUUGGUG
rnacentral:lncRNA from 1 species